rfam:Flavobacterium sp. ov086 genome assembly, contig: Ga0070134_145
AUUAAAUGGAAUCCAGAUACCAUUUGAAAAACGGGGCGAAACCGAAAAGCCACACGAGUAGGAAAAUA